GAUGAACGCUGGCGGCGUGCUUAACACAUGCAAGUCGAACGAAGCACUUUAUUUGAUUUCCUUCGGGACUGAUUAUUUUGUGACUGAGUGGCGGACGGGUGAGUAACGCGUGGGUAACCUGCCUUGUACAGGGGGAUAACAGUUGGAAACGGCUGCUAAUACCGCAUAAGCGCACAGCAUCGCAUGAUGCAGUGUGAAAAACUCCGGUGGUAUAAGAUGGACCCGCGUUGGAUUAGCUAGUUGGUGAGGUAACGGCCCACCAAGGCGACGAUCCAUAGCCGAACUGAGAGGGUGACCGGCCACAUUGGGACUGAGACACGGCCCAAACUCCUACGGGAGGCAGCAGUGGGGAAUAUUGCACAAUGGGCGAAAGCCUGAUGCAGCGAGGCCGCGUGAGCGAAGAAGUAUUUCGGUAUGUAAAGCUCUAGCAGCAGGGAAGAUAAUGACGGUACCUGACUAAGAAGCACCGGCUAAAUACGU
rnacentral:rRNA from 1 species